UACAGAGGGGGCAAGCGUCGUUCGGAAUUACUGGGCGUAAAGGGCGCGUAGGCGGCCUGUUAAGUCGAACGUGAAAUCCCCGGGCUCAACCCGGGAACUGCGUCCGAUACUGGCAGGCUUGAAUCCGGGAGAGGGAUGCGGAAUUCCAGGUGUAGCGGUGAAAUGCGUAGAUAUCUGGAGGAACACCGGUGGCGAAGGCGGCAUCCUGGACCGGUAUUGACGCUGAGGCGCGAAAGCCAGGGGAGCAAACGGG
rnacentral:rRNA from 1 species